rnacentral:lncRNA from 1 species
GCUUCUCCUCCCUCUCCAAGCAUUAAGUGAUCAUAAAAUUACAUAUAUUGCCAUUGAGAAGCCGUUUUACCAAAUGUUUUGCAAAACGGCUUCAGCUUCACUAAAAAAGUCACUCCACCGAAAAAGCCGAAGCUGAAGCCGUUUUAUGAGAAGCCGAAGCUCUACCAAACGGGGCCUUAGCAGUGGUGCUAGCUUUUUGCACCCGCUGCUUCAAAUAAAAUAGUAUAUUUCACUCUUGACUACUACAUUACAUGCAUGGGAGGAAAAAGCUGACAGCGAGAAUUGUCUAUAGGAUAAAAGGUUGCUUUUGCUUUAGCUUAUACGUUGGAGCAUUUUGUCUCAGCUAGCACCUGGAUGACAUGUCUGGAUUCAAAAUUCUUGGAAGGACUAUACGCUGGCCUUGCUCUCAGAGAGCAUCGAGGAAAUGGGUCGGACACCGUCCACCUCGCCUGCUCCCUCUCCUCUGUAGAAAAGAAAUGUAGCAUAGUCGAUAGCAGUAGUACAAUAAUCUACUGUAGAUUGGUUUUCUCUACUCCUAAAAAUACGUCCACACUCUGUGGUAGUUGGUUCCGCGCCGACAGGAGGGCCCCGACCCCACGCCUGGCUGCUCCGACCGCGAACCUGGCUUCCCAAUCCGAAUGCUAGCUGCACCUCCACGUAUAGUUGGCCAUAUGGGCAGGGCCCGUGGGCCGGCCCACGGCAUAGGAUUGUGGCCCGAUCCAUGCACGAACCGGCACGGUGGUCGUCGUGGCCGUCCUGACCUGGCCCACACCACGGGCCGCUGCCUCAGCCCACGUGCUGGCCCAUUUGACCUAUCAAAAUUACGUGGGCGGCCGAGCCUGUUAAGGCCCGCUCAGCCCACGUAUAAAACCCCCCACCCCAAACCCUACUUCCUGUCCUCCAUCCCACCGCCGCCUCGCCCGCUGCUUCUCCCGUUGUGCGCGCACCCUCCGCCGCCUCCCCGGCCGCUUCCCCCGCGCCCCUCUGCCGCCUCCCCGAGGCGCGUGCCCUUCGCUGCCUCCUCGUGCUGCUUCUCCCGCGAGGCGCGUGCCAUGAAGGCAACCUAGGGCACCUGUGCCGGUGCCUCGUCUUCGCCGCGGUCGAGGAGGUGGUGGCGGUCGAAGACCGGGUACGUCAGAAGGAUGUGGCCGUGUGCGAAGAUGUCGUGAGCCGGCGCGAGGUCCUCGGCAUCACAGCCGGGCAGCGUGUUGGAGAAUAUCGUGGCUGCGUGUGGCAUUGGGAAGGCAAAGCUGAGGAUGGAGCCGGGCAGCGUGUUGGAGAAUGCCGUGCCUGCGGGUCGCCACGAGCACGGCGAGGCCGUUAAGGCCUACCGGGCCUACGUGUCGGCAGGGCCCGCCUAAGGAGGUAGUGGGCCGUGCCUGGGCUGCUCCUUCAGGACGCGGGUCGGCACAGCACAGCACGGUUACUGUGCGGGCCUAAACGUGCCAAGCCUAACGGUGGCGGGUCAAAUCGUGCUCGUGCCAGGCCGGACCGGGCCGCUUGUUUGGCCAUCUAUAGAUCUAUACUCCCCUCACCUCCCUGCAGCAACUCCUCUGUGCCGACCUCCCGGCUGUCUUCCUUGCAGCACUCACUAGUCGCCAGCUAUCCUCCGCUCCCCCAGCUGCACUCGCCAUCCGUCGCCGCUGCUCUCGCCGCACUUCUCCACUUUCUUCCCCACCCAUCGCUACUGCCUCUCCCCACCCGCCGUGACCCAAUCCACCGCCUACCAACUACUCCCCUGCGCAACUCCGCAUCGUGGUCUAGGGCCCUCUUCGGCGAUCAGAUCCGGCGUCUCCACGGCCGGAUCUGCCAAUCUACCAUUUCCUUCGCUCCCGGAUCCGCCGCCGCUGCUGCCAGUGUUCUCAGGCGGCAGCCACAGCUGCUGUCGGGCCCCGGUCUGAAGCGCGGUGUUCAACGUGUCGACCAGCAUCAUCGGCGCCCUCCGUGCUGUUCCUCGUCGCGCUCGUCGACGUCUACGUGCUCAACGUUUUCCCCGUGCUGUUCCUCUGCGCGCCACCAAGCAGACUGCGUGCCCCGCCGCCGCAGCCUCCCCUCCGCCCGCUCCUAGCAAGAGACGGAGCGGGAUUUGGGACCGGUGACACGGCGCCGCUGCGUGAGGGAGCUGCGGCUGCCACAUUUAAUCAGCGACGGGAAUGAGAGAGCUGUGGGACGUCGCCGCCUUCUGCGUCGUCCCUGCCUGCAACGCCCUCUCCGCCGCAAGUUCCUGCACGCACGUCGCCACCACCUCCAGUACCUCACCACCGCCAUCAUGGCCCCCCUGCUUCUGCUCCUUCCCCACUGCUCCGAUUCGAAAAUCCUUUCCCACUUCUUGAAUCGUCUUAGAUUAUUGGAUGAGCUGCAAUUUUAAUCAUGAUCUUCUGAUUUGUUUCGUAUGGUCCUGAAUGGAUUCAGACGCAUCGAGCAAAUUACGUCAAAGAUUACACUGAUGGUGAUACAGGGGAGCCAUGAGAUUGAUUCUAACAUGCCGUCGUUCCUUUUUGGCUUUGCGCUUACAGGCUCCAGCAGCAGGGGCGACGACAUGGGAGCUGUGGCUGUAAGCAGGGAGGAUAUGGAGGUGAAGAAGAUGGAGGCCGGCGGCGAGCUACGGUCCGAAGAUAUUGGCCUCGGCGUUUCUCCUGGCCAUGCAUCUUUCUUUCUUCUCUGCUAUGCCAAGCGCCGGCAGCUUACCAGCCGGCAACCAUCUUUGUGUUUCUUGGGCACCAGCUAGCAUGACGGCGAGAACGCUGAAUUACGAGAAAAAAAAUUAAGCUUAUAAGAUUUUCUCGAUAUUGUGGUCAACUUUGCUCACAUUUUGUUUGUAAAGUUCUCCAGCUUAUGUGUACAAUGUUGCCUGAAAUGACUUUCCUGUUCGUUUAUAUGACAUCUAGCAUAUGUUGACUUACAUUUCUGAAAUUUCUAUCUGAACAUGAGCAGUUGCAUGAGGCCGAGGGUCAGGGUGUGGUGUUUGAUGCAGCUAGCCUAGAUUGAGACGAAGAAGUACAAUGAUCACGUAUGCGUUGCCAUUUGCGCUAGAAUGCAAACAGUGGCACUUGAUUUCCUGUUUCAGUCUGCCUAUAAACUAAAAGAGAGCACUCCUGUGGAGAUAAUGUUACACUUUUCCUUCCUGAAGUUAAAAUGUCAAGCAAGUUAUGAAUCGUUUAAAGUUCUGCUCUUUUAAUGUUUGCACUACUAGAAAAUCUGAAUUCGUUCAAGAUGGUUUGGGCAAAUUUCAAUUCAGUGGCUGGUUUAUAUUUCAAUUCAGAUGGUUGAGUGUCUGAUCCAACUUUAGCAAAAGCUGGUGGUCAGGCUACAAGUUGAUGCAUAUCCAUGAGUACAAAGCUUGAGCAUUCUGUAGUAUGAAAAGCAGGUGGGGCUACUGUUGUUGUCUUAACAAGUAUUUAGUUUUCAUACAAAUUUAGUGUUGUGCAUUGUAAUCCGAAACUGACUUUCAGACUAAUACUUGAAGGUCAUUCAAUGAUAAACCAGUGAAGGUAUCAGUUGCCUCAAUUGGGAAGGACUUGUUUGAGAGUGUUUGACCCACUGAAGGUCAUUCUAUCGUAUCUUGGGUCAGCUAUUUUGCAAGUGUUUGACCCAAUCAACAAUAUGAUGUGUGUAAAUUUGAGUCACCUGUUGCAAUGCGCGCGCACCAAACUAGUCUAGCCAAUAAUCCUAUUCUUGCUAGUUAGGUAUUCUAGCAAAUUAAAUAAUCCUAUUCUCGCUAACUAGCAAGGUUGCGCACACAUAAAUAGCACGACUGAUUCGAAUUUUGCUGCGUGUGCAAUCUUAGUUUCCAGAGAGAAUUCCUUAUCUGGCCCUGAAACAAAUGGCGCUUCCCUAUUUGGCCCUUUUUUAUCAUUCAUCCCUUAUUUGGCCCUUCCGUCCACUUGACUGUUAGAUGGCCUGCGAAAAUACAUCUUUGCCGCUGGCGAAAAUCACAGCAUGCCUUAUUUGACCCCCUUUUUACAAAACAACAGAUUGCAUAUCUACCUUAUUUGACCCCAUGCAAGACAAAAAAAAAAAAUUCGGCAUAUCUGUUGUAAAUGUGAAUAUAUAAAGCUCAUUUAUAGCCAAAUUCUCCACAUUUGCAACAGAUAUAUUUAAGCACAACAUCAAUGAUAUGCAAUCCACAGGAAUUUCCGACACAUAGUCCAUUUUGGAGAUCUCCCAUUUUGGACAGCACCCAAGUCAUAUGGUUCAAAUGUGCAUCUCCAAGCAUACAAGUUCAUAUGGUUCAGAUGCAGUAGGUUUAUAUAAAUAGGUUGUUCACAUACAGAUCCACCAUCCACCAUCUCCAACGCAUACGGUUCUUCACAUACAAGUUCACAUGAGCACAACAUGCUUAUAAUAAGGUAAAAACCACAAAAUCGCAAACUGAGCCUUCUUUUGCUUCUUGUGCUCGUCGCUAGGCUAGCAGAAUCAACUUUUUUUGCUUCUUGUGACCAUUGCAGGGCUGUCAAAUAACACACCAGAUUUUUUUCCCUUUCUCUUUAGUUUCUUUCUUCCCUUUGGGAUUUGAGAGCUUUAUCUUCCCUUGUGCAUUCCUCCAUUUAGGCUUUGUGGCAGCAAUGGGAUUUGAGCCAGUAGACAUAGGAAACUCAAUGCUAAUGGGAUCUGGCUGAGUUGUGCUUCCGGCUGACCUGCACCUAUGCAUGCAUAAGAAAAGAAAAAAGAAAUUCAAAACCUAGCUAAUUGGAAGCAAAGGAAUUUUCAGCACAAACUAGAACCAUAUAGUACAUUGUUGAGCCUCCAGAUUCUGAUGCACAUUUUCCACCUUUUGUAGUUGUAGGUCCUACACUUUGGCUAUGGUGACAAGAAAGCAAAUUAGCAGUGAACGCUCUAAUUUAAACAUGAGCACAAGUGUGAAAGUGUAAACCUUGGUGGGAAACACAUAGAGGAAGAUGGUGCAUCAUCAUUAAAAGGGACUAUGCUUUCAUCUGUUGAUGCCCGACGCGCCGUGGUCUGGCUGGCGAGCCCUCGAGGCUCGCGGCCUGGCCUGCACGCGCCCAACGCUCCGUGGCUUGGCCGACCAUGAUGACUCCUCCCCUCGCUUGAGUGGCCGCUGCCACGACACCUCUUCCCGUGCACUGCCGGCCAAACCCGCCACCUGCCCACCUCGCCUCCACCUGCCCGCCUCAUCUCUGCUUGCCCGCCCGCCCACCUUGACGCUGCCACCAUCGCCAAUUUGGAUCGGUUCCUGGUGGUAGCAGUGGAUAGGGUUUAGGAUGUUUCAUGGGAGAGAUGGGGAAAGUGACUCUUUAGUGAGAUCUCCUAAUUCGUGGGGUCUAGGCAUACCUCGUGUCCAUCUAUCGGGCCGUGUGGUGACACAAGGGCGUAAUGGUCCAUUUUGGAAAACUAUGAUAGGAGAACUAGCAAAACUGAAGGAACAUGGACGGAAGGGCAAAAUAAGGCAUUGUUGGAUUUAUAAGCCCGGCGGUUCACCAGGGGUUACCCAAAUGGUUGAUUUGUAGGUAAGGACGAUUGCGAAACCAAGAACUCGAAGGUGAUCGUGAGAACACAAAGGACAUAGGGAGUUUUAGAUAGCUUUAGACCUCCGGAGAUUAAUGCCCUACGUCCUAUAUGUGGGUGGAUUCUAUUGCUUGUAUGGGAUGUGGUACCCUCGAGGGGCUCCCUUGGCCACCUUAUAUAGGCUGACGACCUAGGGCUACAAGUCGGUUUGAAUCUAAUAUACUCGGUAAUUACAUAGAAGGUAAUCUGAGUUGGAAUUCAAUACGCGUUCCAUGAUAUCCAGGCAAAUUUUAAUUGUCUGGUUUCCUUGGCGUGUACUUCAAGUAUCUUCAUGUCCUUAGCACGCACACCCUGGUCGAGCGGGCCCACUUUUCAGGUCCGCCUAGUAUUCUAGUCGGUAGGGAUCUAUGUGGUACUCAUAUCUCUCAGGCAUGAAAGAUUAUAAAAGGGCCAAAUAGGUAAAUUUUGGUUUUUCAGGUCUAGAUGUGACACCCGUUCCAAUUGGUUGGCUCAGUGUGGCCCAUGAGCAUAGGUGCUCAUGUUUAGUACCACCUUACUAGUUGAGCAAGGGUGGAGCAAACUUAUAAGCCUUUGUCAAGUAGCCAUAGCACCUUCGGGUUUAACCCUUUUACACAAAGCAAGGACGAAAGUGUAAGUAGGGUGCUAUGCAUCGCGUGCCCACCCCUCGGAAGAGCUGAGCAGUGCGGCUUUGGAGGACGGGUUGUUACAAAUUGUAUCAGAGCCAACCCUCGCGGUUGCACGUACGGGUCAGUGUGCGGGCAUAUGGCACAUGGCGCGUGUGGGCUCUGUAUGGGAUAAAUAGCAUGACAUAUGGCACCAACACUGGAUGUAUGAUCGUGCACUAAGAGGGAACAUUCCUGGACAUUUACCCAAGUGUGGGUGAGUUGGAUCGACGAGGACGUCGAGUUCUUUGAGGGGGGGUGUAUGUGGCACCCGGUCCAAUUUGGUUGGACCAGUGUGGCUCAUGAGUGCAGGUAGUACCACCUUGCUAGUUGAGCAAGGGUGGAGCCAACUUAUAACCCUUUGUUAACCAGCUAUAGCACCUUCAGAUCAACUCUUUUGUGAGUAUACAUGUACCUGCUGUGUACACCCACCACCCUAAGACCCUGUAUACAUGCACGUGUACCGUGUACGCUCGUACUUGUACGCGAGCAUGUAUAGCUAACACCACCCACACCAACCUUGGGCAUACUUAUGCAUGAAUGUAUACACAUUCCACAUACGUAUGUCUACAUGCCCAUAACCACCCAUACUCACCAAGCACACACCAACGUAUAUGUGUAAUCGCACUUAGUAUGUACAUGCGAAGGUACCACAUCCAUGAUAAUCCCUACCCCUUGUACGUGUAUAUAGCUACAUAUGCACGUACCUAACUAGACGCCAACCUUACACGCAUACACAUACACCAUUCGAGACCACGACCCAUUAUUAGGUCAAUCGAGUCAUUCAUGAUGAUUUGAUCUGGCUUUCUCUCCAAUGGAAGUCAAUCAAGUUAUUUGUGAUGAUUUGAUCUAGCUUUCUCUUCAAAUUCACAUGAUACUGAAAUAUAAUAACGUGGUCUGAUUUUUGCAAGUUAACCCCCACCUAGACCCCUUAUUUGGAGAAGUCAAUCAAGCAAUUGUGAUGAUUUGAUUUGGCUUUCUCUUCAAAUUUACAUGAUAGUGAAAGAUAAUAACGUGGUCUUGUUUCCACCAAGUUAACCUCCACCUCAUCCCCUAGCAACCUCACUUAUUGGUUGGAUGGAUUAAUCCCAUCUAAUCUGUUUUCAAAUUCACACAGUAGUGAUAGACAAACUAACUCUCAUCCUAAGGACAAGCAGGUUGAUCCCUCUACGGCUGGUUAUGCUUUGUUUGUUUGUUUGUGAUGCUAGGUUGCGUAGGAUAGAGCUACGAAGAGAAGACCGAUGAUCAAGACCCUACUCGAAGAGGAAUAUGAAGGACAAGAUAAUACGAGAACUGAAGUGUGUUGGAUCUGUUCGAAAAGGAAAUCAAGGUAGCUAGAGGAACAAAAUUGCCAGUGAGAGGAGGCAAGUCCUAUCUUUCUCCCUUCCACAUACAUUUGCCUUACAUACAUGUAGUGAGUACCACUAUCAGAUGUAGACAUGUCCCUAGUAUAUUACUCCACAAUUUUAACAUAAGCCUACCACCAGCUUGUCAUGGGAGAUCGCCACUUAGAAAUGCACUUAUUAUGAGAAUCAUGUUACCUUUCUAGGUUAUGAGCAUGAUGAUCUAGUAUUGUACUGUGUGGGCGUACUAGAGCUGCUUGUGCUGUGUGCCUUAGGAUACCUUGUGCCAUUUUAUGCCAGGGAAACAGGGUGCCUGCGAAGGUUAACCUAGGGGUGGCGACGAUCCUGUGUGGGUAUCCUCAUUGGAGAGCUUACCCUAGCACCAUAAGAACCGAUUCGUUAGACAUCUGACCUAAUCACACUAGUGCAACCUCAUGCUGAAUGGGAAGUCUUGAUCUCACACUAAGUUGGAACCUUACUAAAGCCUGGGGGCUGAAGUAGGCAACAUGGCGUCAGGAGAAGACAUAGGGUGCUGUGUGUUCUCCCAUAAGUCUGGCUUAGGUCCAGAGGUGGUGGUACCUCUAGGUUUUCGAUCUGUGUGAUGUAUUUAUAUUGGCCAUUAUUUAUAUGUGUGAUAUUUUGUUAACCUAAGCCCCUGACAUUUCGUCAGUAAUAGUAUAGGGAAAGGCCGGCGGGUGUUAGAUCUCGGCAUGUUAGUUUUGCCAGCAGUGCAUGGCUGGACGAAGCGCGCCAUGUGGGUAAAGUGUACAACCUCUGCAUAGUAUAUGAAUUGAAUAGCCACGUCCUUAGUACUGGGCAACCAGUUAUGGUGAGGUCUAUAUGAUUAGUGUUUAUAAAGAGAUUGCUGUGGGAAAUCACGUAAGGAACCGACGACAAGAAGCCAUGCUAGUGACACAUGUGUUGGCUUGACAACCGGAACUGGCGGGAAUGGAGAAUUCUCCCCCAGGAACCAAACCUCUUUUAUAAAUAUCCACCUUCGAUAUUGCAUAUUCACCAGAAUAAUCCCUUGCAUGCAACCCGCAAAUCCUUACCUUACCUAAACCCAAUUGUUGGACUUGCGGAGUAGCUCGUGUACUCAUACCACCCUUAUUGAACAUUUUUAGGAGAAAGCUGCAGGAGCCCUCACAAUGAUGAAGGAAUACCAGCAGAUGUACUCAAGGAAAACAACGGGUUAGGGCAAGAGAUAGGAUAAGAACCCAUUUGAUGAUAAAGAUUACUCUCAGAUUGGAGUACGCAGGGAGGUGACGGACUCGUACCAGAGUACGAUUAAAGAUGAGGACUGUACUCUGGAGGAUUCUUGAAGAUGAGGGUUAUGUCUACAUCCAAGAAUGCCUGUAGGAAUUGAGCCAUGACACCAUAAGUCCGCUGCAGGAGAUCUCUGAUGUUUAUCAUGUUGCUCUGUUUGUAAUGUUUGCCUUGAUUGCCUUGUUGGCAUUAGGCCACUCCUGCAAAGACAUAAAUGUAACCCUAUUUUAGAAUCAAUAAAGAUCAAAGUAUUGUUUUGGUAUCAAUCUCUUGCGUCUGUGCAGAACUGAUACGAUGUGCACAGUGGACCUCUGAAAAGCAUUUUGAGAAUUUUACCAAAACCGAUCUGACCGAUUUGCACAUCCUGUCAAUUUUAGUCGCCAACAGAUCUGAAAGGUCUUGGUAAAUACAGCUAGCCGGGAACAAUUGCAAUAUUGCUGGCCGUGAGGUCGCACUGCCUCCACCGGCCACCAUUCACCAAUAGCCCCGCGCCACUAUACGUCCAGUUCUAGUGUGCUAGUGUACGCAUGCUUGCCGCACUAAUCUUUUGUGGUGCAAUGUGUAGGAAAAAGGUCUUCUCAUUGUUCACAAAAGCAACCACUACUUCCUAACUUUGAUGUGAGCCAUAAUCCUAAAACAUUAUUUCAUUCUUCCACAACAUGUGGUGGACGUUGCAAUCUAUAUAUACUUGUUCUUUUAGAGAAAGUAUGUAGAUAAAAUGACCAAAUUACCCUUAUAUAUAUAUUUAUAUUCUCUAAAGUAUGCAUGUGAGAAAAUAAAUAUUUAAUAGUGCAAAUUAAAAAGGAUAAUAUUGGAAACAAUAGGGCAAAGUUGCCUAGAAGUUGUGGAACAAAUAUUUUGCAUAUUAUAAUGGAGGCUAAAUCAACAAGUAUCAUGAUGAACCAGAGGGAGUACUAAAUUGAUUUUUUUAACCAGACUUGACUUACCAGUGUAUUAGCUUAUACGUAAUGUAUUAAUUACAAUCAAACGAAAUCAUGUACUUCCUCCGUUCUUCAAUGAAGAGUGUAAUUGUAGAUUUUUUUCCCGAACACAUUAGUAUGGUCGUCAAAUGACCUCAGUACCGUAAUUAAUUUGCCGAGUCCACCUAUUUCGGUGUGUUACCUUUCUGAUCCUUUCCCUACUAGCGUAAAUCGUGGCAUGCAAAGUAAUUAAGGCCGGCAAAUAUGUUUUUCCACUCGAUUAGGCAUGCAAGAUAAUUAAGUGGACCCUACUUGUAGUUCAAUUCUUAAGAUUGCACUCUUCAUAAGAUAUUUCUUUCAAAUGCUAGAAUUGUAGUUUUCAUGGACGGAGAGAGUAACUUAUUUUUUGUUUGUCACUUCACUAGUGCACAACUGUGAAUAUCACUAGGUUCUUAUGAAGCAUGGCAUUCCUUUAGUGUUGAAAGCACGUACGUGUUGCGAAUUGGAACACUACAUAGUGGCCGUACUGGUCAGGAACGCAGUGGACAGGGAAGUGGCAAACACCCAUUUCUUCGCUGCUGCAUAAUGCCGUUCCCAUAAAGUACUGCUCCAUUACUGCUAAUGCACGUUCCCAUCAUGUUGUUGACAGCCUUGGCACUGUGCAUGCCUGCUUCUUCAGGGCAGAGCUCGGGCAAUGGUACGGUGGCGAUACUGAUAUCCUCUCGCCCAUGGCUUUCAAUAAUGAUCUCUAUACGCCUCUCAUGUUAUCCUUAGUGGCAAACUGGCAGUGGUGGCGACUGGAUUGCUGUCUCAGUGGAGCUGGCACGCCACUUACAUGGAGCUGCUGGGUGUGUGAUCCUCCAGGGAGCUGCUGUUACUGAUGGGUGUGUGGUCCCUACUAUAGCACUGCUGGCAUUUCCACAUGGCUGUGCCCAUAUGGAACUGCUGGGUGUGUAAUCCCCCUCUCCCAGCUUGCUAUAGUAGGGAUGAUCCAAAAAUUGUAGAAGCUUUCGUCAUCCUGGCCGUUGUCGGCAUGUUCCUCUUGCACAUACUGGGUUUGUUACGCCGGCGGUCGAGCCGUAGCCUCCUCCAUGCUAUCGUGAUGGGAAUCUACACGCUCUCCUAUCCACUGGUGAGCUACACUAUCGGCCGGGCUGAUGUAUAAGUCCGGUAGGAAAUACGAAGACUUCGCCGUGUGGGCAGUGCUUCUGCUCCUCGGCAACACGGACAGCCUCACGGUUCGCCACCUCAGCGACAUCGACAACUGGAAGAGCAUUCACGUCAAACACCUCUACCAGGGAUUCUUGCUGGUGUUUAUCGUUGUGAUUAUUCGCCAGUUCAAGAAUUUGCUCUACCGGCAACCGCUCUAUGCCAUCCAGGUGGUGGUCAUCCUCAAGGGGUAUCCGAGGAUCGCUUCCAUGAGGAUGGUGAGCAAAUCCUACAUAUUCAAGAAGGUGAAGGUGAUCGCCGAAUACAUGCAGCACAAGGACAACCUGGUGGUAACCUUCGAUGGCCUGUGACCAUGGAAGGCUACCAGUAAAUGGUCGCUGGCGAGAAGUACUGAUGAAAUAAUGGGCUUGGCCCGUUCUAAUUUCAGAAAUUUCAAAUAAAUUUCAAAGGUCUACGUGGGCAUGAGCAAGUGGUUGAGUGGUGCAAACCUUUAAUUCCACAUUGCUAGUAGAGGAGGAGGAUGACCAACUUAAAUAUGGAGGUUGUCUCCACUCCUCCAAGCUAUGUGUGUGGGGAGAGAAGGAAAGCUCUACAACAUUAAAAACUCUGGCUAAGUCUACAUCAGGUAGAGUAUAAACAAAAGUUAAUCAUCACCUUGGCAAUUAAUCGAUAUGUACAAGAAGGAAGUUAAAAGUUAAGAAAUAAAAAAGAACAAAUAAACAAAAGUUCUAUACUGAACCUGGUACGCAGUAACUAAUUAAUGCACGGAAUUAGUCUUUGGCUCUGAAAUUACUAUAUAAAUGAGAUAAAUGUUAUAACAAGCUAGCCCCGCUAUUGCUAGUUUGUGUCAAUAAAAGUAACAAUUAAAUUUUAUUGGUCCACCGUGAUUUAACAGGAAAGUCAUCAUUCAACACCGUUGUUAUAUAGCUCAACCACCACCGAACGUUGCUUUUUCUCCUAUAUAUACAUACAGCCUCAGGGUUCUCUAAGACCCAAACAGCGUACUUUUGGAGUGAGCUAGGUAGAGAAGUGUACAGCGCCCUCAGAAAUCAAAUCUGCAGCCAAUGCAACAUGGAUCCGGCACCGAGUCCCACACCCAGUCCCCUUACCAACGAGUGCCGUAAAGAUCAUACAGAUACCGUAAAAUUUUUUGUCAUCCUAGCCGUUGUCGCCAUGUUCCUCUUGCACGUACUGGGUUCCUUACGCCGGCGGUCGAGCCACACACUCCUCCAUUCUAUCGUGAUGGGAGUCUACACGCUCUCCUAUCCGCUGGUAGGCUUCACCGUUGGGCUGAUGAAAUCAUCCGAAUUCUACUACGAAGACUUCGCUGUGUGGGCAGUGUUCCUUCUUCUGCUCCUCGGCAGCACGGACAGCCUCACGGUUUGCCGCCUCAGUGACGUCGACGACUGGAAGAGCAUCCACGUCAAAUACAUCCUUCAGGGAUUCUGGCUGGUGAUAAUCAUUCUGAUGAUUUGCAAGCAUCAUGAUCAGGAAACCUACGGCCAGAAACUUCCCUACAGGUAUCCGUUGUAUGCCAUCGUGUUGGUCGUCAUCCUCAAGGGGUAUCUGAGGAUCGCUUCCAUGAGGAUGGUGAGCAAAUCCUACCUCUGCAAGAAGGUGAAGGUGAUCGCUGAAUACAUGCGGCACAAUGACAACCUGCCGGUGCCCUUCAAUCCAGUGACCAUGGAAGGCUACCGGUACAUGGUUGCUGGCGAGAAGUACUGCGUCAAUCGGCAGCCUGGGAGCAAACUAUGGUACAAGGGGGACGGCCUUAAAGUUGUCACCGUGGAGCAGAUCUGGCAGUGCACUGGGAGGCUGCUGGUCCUUGCGCGGGGCAAGCUGCUCAAGGACUUGUGCCUCUCUAUGGCACUCUCCAAGAUGCUCAACCGAAGGUUUGUUGGCUUCAAGCUCUCAGAGGCGGGGAAUGAGAAAACCCAUGACUUUGUGUUCAAAGGCCUGCUCGCCGGGAACACGCCACAUCAGAGGGCCUUCAAGGUCAUCGAGGAAGAGCUUGUUUUUGUCCAUGACUUCUAUUACACAAGGUAUUAUUACCUCUACCAGAAAGGUCGAUACAUUGCCCUCUGUCUGCCCAUCGUCAUGCUUGCCCUAUGCUCGUGGCUCACCUAUCUGCUCGUCAAGCAAUACAAGAGAAGCUCUCUGCUGGAUGCCACCAUAUUUGUAACUGUUGUCGUGGCAUUCCUGGAGGCAUACCAGCUCUACCUGUACGUAUCCUCAGGUUGGUUCAAGGUGGCACUAAUACAGAGCUACAUCGACACACCAUUUUUGCGAAGAAGCCGUUGCCUUGAGAUGAUCAUAGGCCUUCUUUUGAGGUUGAAGGCGAUUGCACCAUGGAAGCGCAGUCUUGGGCAGUAUUGUAUCCUCCAGGAGCUUGGUCGCAAAAGUAGGGUUAGGAAUUGUCUCCAUUAUGCUACGCUGUAUUUGGUGGACAAGGCCAUGAAGGGAAGCAAGAAUUCAGUGAAGCUGUCCGAAGAUGUGAAGAAAGCCAUCACUGAUUCCCUACUAGCAAGCAACGGACACCUGACGAACGGGGUAACAUCGCUGCAAAGAAAUGGCGUCCAUGAUGACCUCAAAUGGGCAUGUGAUGCUACUGCUACUGACGGAGCGGUGUCUCGCACCAUUGUGGCCUGGCACAUUGCUACAACCCUGUGCGAGCAGAAGCUGGAUAUACAAGCCAAAGAGGAAGACGCUGUCAAAACAGCCUCCACUUUAUCCAAGUACUGCAUGCACCUCCUUGCUUUUGCACCUAACCUCUUGCCCGACCACAGGUCCAUAUCAGAAUCCAUACUUGAUCAGUCAAUCGACGAAGCAAGCAAGUUACUCAAAGAGGCCAAGGACAAGAAGAUCAAGGGCAAGAACACGAAGAUCGAGGCCAGGUGUGACAUAUUAAUGGAAAUUAACACCGAUGGUUGUGUUGCUGAUGAAACAAGGCUUGUUGCGCGGGGCGUUCACCUUGCAAGGCAACUGAUUGAUAACAUACAAGACUUCACAACACGGUGGAAGGUGCUAUCUGAUUUCUGGGCAGAGAUGAUGCUGUACGUCUCGCCAUCCGACGAUGCUCGGGCGCACCUGGAAGUUCUUGCAAAAGGAGGGGAGUUCAUCACGCACCUUUGGGCGCUGCUCACGCAUGCCGGUGUGUUGAAGCGAGGACCCACAGAGCCAAAGGAUGUUGUGUGAUCUGUCCAACCAGUGCACAAGUAACAGUCCAUAUAUCAACCUAGUGCUUGUAAGUAGUAACAUCCUAGAAUAUUGCCUACAAUAAUGUUGAGACAGACCUACUUGUGGCAUACCAUGUGCGAGUUAGGUCCCGUUUGGCACAGCUUUUGCUUCCGCAAAAAUGGCUCUGGCUCUAGCUUUUCUGAUGAAUCAGUUUUUUUGGCUUUAGCUUGGCUUGGUGGAAAAAACAUUUGGUAAAACGACUUCUCCUCUUAUUUUAGAAUGUAUAUAAGUCAAAUGUCUAUAGUAUCCUUUUCUCCUUUUCUUUUUCUUUUUUUCCUUUUUCCUAUUUCUUUUCUCUUUCCCCAUUUCUUUUUUCUUUCUUAUUUUCUAUCUCCUUCACAUUCCUUCUUUGAUUCUUCCAUUCUUUUUUCUCUCUCCUGCAGCCUUUCUCUUUUUUCUCUCUCUCCGGGCCACGUUGCAUGCCCUUCUUCCUUUCUUUCUUUUUUUUUCCUACCUUGUUUCUCUCUCAGGCGGUGCUGCUGUCUGACCCGCACCUGGACACAUGCGUCUUUACGCAUCAUAAGCCAGGGAUGAGCCAUGAUAAGCCAGAAAAAUAGUUCAUGCCCUGCAGUGCAAGCCGUCAUCUGUAUUUUGCGGGGUUUUCGCCUGUGAGCUGUUUUGAGCUGCACCCUUUUGGCACAGCUUGCCCAUAAGUGGCUCCUUAAGCCGGUUCAUGAGCCGUGCUAAAGGGCAACUUAGUCUGUCGAGUUUGUAUCUCUUUUCUGUCGUGUCUGUUGUCGGAUUUUGAACAUAGUGGGAUCUGUAAUUUCCUCAAGUUUCAUUAAGAACAGUGCGCAUUUAGGUUGUUGGACGUGCGCGUAUCUUAGGUGGUCAUUACAGUCAUGAUCCGGUGACCACUUGAGUCACGAUCCUUAGUUAUGUUCCGUAUAUAAAGGGGAAGAAAACCGAAAAUGCUGCAGCUUGGUCGUAGCACAAAUCCACUCCCUCUCAGUUGCAUUUGGUCGUGUGUCAAUCGAGCAGAUCUUGUUGCAGCAGAGACUGACCCUACUGACCCUACUACUACAGAAGGGGCGGGGAUCCCGUUUUGAGGAUUCUAGCUCCUCAGGGAGGGGUUCAACCUUGAGGAUGAUGCCAUGGUAGGAAUUCUUGCGUUCAUGUUCAUAGGAGACUGAGGGUGUGUUUGGUUGCAUGCACCACAUGAUGCGUGCAUGGAUGAUCCUGGAUAGGGUGGUUCAAUCAGGAUGUGUUUGGUUGGUUGUAUCAUUUGAUUCAUGUAUGAAAUGAUUCAAAAUAAUAAUGAUUCUUUUGUUUGGUUGGAUGAAUUGGACCAACUCAUCCAGAAUGAGGCCAUCCCACUUAAUACAUUAUUCUAUUAAUUAAAGUGAACCAUAUGGUACAAACAAAUUGGUUGAACCACCCCAUCCAGGAUCAUCCAUGCAUGCAUCAUGUGGUGCAUGCAACCAAACACACCCUCAAUUUGCUUGUACCAUAUGAUUCAUUUUAAUUAGUAGAAUAAUGUAUUAAGUGGGAUGACCUCAUUCUGGAUGAGUUGGUACAAUUCACCCAACCAAACAAAAUGAUCAUUAUUAUUUUAAAUCAUUUCAUACAUGAAUCAAAUGAUAUAAGCAACCAAACACACCAUGAGUGUUAUGGAAAAAUGUUGUCUCCUCGCUCCCUCUUCCCUCUUCGGGGAAGGAAACCUUUAUUCUUUGCUGAGCGUAUUGGAUCCCUCGGGCAGGUAUUUACACGAUGUUAGGAUCCUAACACUGGUGGCGGGCCACUUAGAGACAAUAGUAAUGAAAGGACGGACUUCUUUAUGUGGCACCUAAGUACAGCUCUAUGCACUCAUGCUGAGGGGACACGUCCACAAUUGUUUUCAACUAUCGUAUCGUGAUCAGAGGUGGUGGCUGUUAGACGCGUGCCUAGGAUCUCUAGAUGCACAUCUAGUCGGGAUCAUAAACGACAUGAGGGACAUGGUGUUUCUGGUGUGUGCCGAGAGGGAGUGAGAGAGAUAGGGGUACCUUCACCCCUAGGGGUGGGAGCAGCAGAGUUGCUGGCCCUCGCUGGUUCGCUUGGUGGAGUCUGCGCAAGGCAGCGACGCAUAGUGCCGAGUCUGGUCGCUGGUGAGGUAGCGGUGGUACUUCCCGCCGCUACUGCGCAAAACCUAGAUCGGUAGGUGUGUCGGUGGGGCGGCUGGCUGCGGCGAACCUCGUGAGCCGAGCUGGGUCCCCCACCCUGUUUAUAUAGCGCAGCACGACAGGGGCCCACCACCCAAUGCUAGGGUGAGCACCCCCGAUCAGGGCGCGGAUCAGGGUCCCAAUGGGCCCAAAGGCCCAUUGGGGACGAGAUCAAUCUAACAUUCUCCCCCUUGAUCUCAUCAUUUACUUUUAACUUUACACUUUUCGCUUUUAUUCGUUUCAUCGUAGAUUAAUAUGUAGAGCAUGCCUCAUCGUCACAGCUUAAUCGCCGAUAGAAUCAACAGCUACAACACACCUCUCUAUUUUAAAAAAAUUCUGUUUCUUUUGGGCCUUUUCCAAUCCAGGAAUCAUAGGCUUUCCCUUAAACCCAUGCCGGCUAAGUGUUCUCUGAACACAUUGGGUGGUAAGCCUUUCGUGAGCGGAUCCGCAAGCAUAUCUUUUGUUCUUAUAUGCUCGAGACUUAUAGUGCGAUCCUGGAUUCUGUCUUUCACAACAUAAAACUUUAUCUCAAUGGUUUUGGAAGCAUUGCUUGAUUUGUUGUUGUGAGCAUAGAAUACUGCUGGCUCAUUGUCACAGUACAUCUUUAGUGGUCUGUGAAUACAGUCAACCACUCUCAAUCCGGGUAUAAAUUUCUUUAGCCACAUCGCCUGCCCCGUGGCCUCAUGACAUGCUAUGAAUUCUGCAUGCAUCGUUGAUGACGCAGUUACUUUCUGUUUUGAGCUUCUCCACGAGAUAGCUCCUCCUGCGAGAGUGAAUACGUAUCCAGACGUGGAUUUUCUAUCAUCUUUGUCUCCCGCAAAGUCUGCAUCUGAAUACCCUUUUAUCUCUAGGGAAUCAGAUCUCUUGUAUGUAAGCAUGAGUUCUUUUGUGCCUUGCGCGUAGCGCAAUGCUUUCUUUACCAUCUUCCAGUGUUCUACACCUGGAUUACUUUGAUAUCUACCAAGAACCCUGGUGACAAAAGCUAAGUCAGGGCGAGUGCACACUUGAGCAUACUGUAAGCUUCCGACAGCUCAAGCAUAUGGAACCGCUUUCAUUUGAUCGAUCUCGGAUUGGUUCCUGGGAUAUUGAAAAUUCCUAAAACUGUCGCCCUUGACUAUGGGAGUUGGUGUGGCCUUACUCGCAUGCAUAUUAUACUUCUUUAGAACUUUUUCUAAAUAUGCCCUUUGCGAUAAUCCAAGGACCCCAUUCAGUCUAUCUCGGUGAAUUUCUAUGCCCAAAAUAUAUGAUGCUUCACCAAGAUCCUUCAUAUCGAAGUUUGAGGACAAAAACUUCUUUGUCUCUUGCAGUAGAUUGAUAUCACUGCUUGCAAGUAAGAUAUCAUCCACAUACAGAAUUAGGAAAAUGUAUUUCCCAUUUUUGAACUUUGCAUAGACACAAUUGUCCUCUAUGUUCUCUUGAAACCCAAAUUUCUUGAUUAUAUCAUUAAACUUUAGAUACCACUAUCUAGAGGCUUGCUUUAAUCCGUAAAUGGAUUUCCUUAGACGACAUCCCAUAUUCUCUUUGUCUUCCAUGAUAAAACCCUUUGGUUGUUUCAUGUAGACAUUUUCUUCUAAAUCCCCAUUUAGAAAUGCCGUCUUUACAUCCAUCUGAUGUAACUCUAAGUCAAAAUGUGCAACUAGUGCCAUUAUUAUUCUGAAGGAGUCUUUACAUGAGACAGGAGAAAAAGUCUCAUUGUAAUCUAUUCCUUCUCUUUGUGUAAAGCCUUUUGCCACAAGUCUCGCCUUAUACCUUUCUAUAUUCCCUUUGGAGUCACGUUUAGUCUUGUAGACCCAUUUACAGCCUACUGUUUUGGCUCCUUUAGGAAUCUCUUCAAGUUCCCAAACAUUGUUGGAACUCAUUGAUUUCAUCUCAUCUUCCAUGGCCUCUAGCCACUUCGAUGAGUGAACACUUUUCAUGGCUUCCUCAUAUGAAGUGGGAUCACCUUCUAUAUGAACUUCUUCUGUAUUAUAAACUUUAUAGUAAUCAGGGAUAGCUGAUCUUUUGACUCUUUGAGACCUUCUAAGCCCCUCACUUUCGGGCACAUUCUGUGCCUCUGCUUGUGGCACAUCAUUGAGAGGUGGCUGCUGCAACUCUUCUUUGUGUAUAAUGAUGGGUUCAGUUGGCUCCUGAAGGACAGGUUCCAAAACUUCACUCAUCGUUUCCACAAGUGGAAUCACAGCAGGUGCCUGCACCACAAUAUCAGGGACUGUAGCGGGUGCUUGCACCACGACCUCAGGAACUAUUGGUGCGGGAAUAACAGGUAGUGAGAAGAAUGGUUCCUGAAUCAUCGGAUUAGGUGCACACACCCGCUUCUCCUCAAGAUCAAUCUCUCGAGCCACCAUGCUCCCCCUCACCAUCUGAUCCUCUAAGAAAAUCGCGUGUUUCGUUUCUACAAACUUUGUAUAUCUGUCUGGAUAGUAGAAACGAAAACCUUUUGAUCUUUCCGGAUAGCCAAUGAAGUGGCAACUUACUGUUUUGGGAUCUAGCUUCCCAAUGUUUGGGUUAAAUACUUUGGCCUCAGCUGGGCUCCCCCACACACGCAGGUGGUUUAGUGAGGGUACUCUUCCUGUCCAUAGUUCAUACGGUGUUUUGGGCACCGACUUACUUGGCACUCUAUUUAGAAUGUGAAUGGCAGUUUUCAACGCCUCCAUCCACAGUCCCAAUGGUAAGGUGGAAUAACUCAUCAUGCUGCGCACCAUAUCCAUCAGUGUACGGUUACGCCUUUCAGCUACUCCAUUCUGCUGAGGCUCGCCCGGCAUCGAAUACUGGGCUACUAUGCCAUUUUCCUGCAAAAACCUUGCAAAAGGUCCAGGAACUUUGCCAAAUGGGGUAUGUCGACCAUAGUACUCCCCCCCACGGUCGGUACUAUUUUGAUUCUUUUGUUAUGCUGAUUUUCAACUUCAGCUUUAAAUAUCUUAAAUUUAUCCAGCGCUUCUGAUCUUUCUUUAAUUGGAUAAAUGUAACCAUAACGGGAGUAAUCAUCUGUAAAUGUUAUGAACGAGUCAUAGCCAUCCACGCUUUUCACAGGAAAUGGUUCACAAAUAUCAGUGUGGAUUAUCUCUAAAACUCCUGUGCUACGUUUAGCGUCUUUUUUAAUUUGCUUUACAAACUUUCCUUUAAUGCAAUCAACGCAUUGUUCUAAGUCUGAGAACUCUAAUUGAGGAAGAAUUUCAUUCUUAACUAGUCUUUCUAUUCUCCCCCUCGAAAUAUGGCCUAAAUGACAGUGCCAUAAUUUCGACGAUGUUUCAUGAGUUCUCUUUCUUUUCUUUGUUUGUUGCUCUGACGAGGAUACAAUCAUAUUGACAUCACACACAGAAUUUACUUUUUCACGUAGUGAUAAUAAAUACAACUCAUUGUGAAGGAUGGCAACACCAACACAUGCAUUAUCGAACCAAAUGGCACACUUUCCAUUUCCAAAAUGACAUUCAUAUCCAUCAUGGUCCAUACGUGAAAUGCUGAUCAAGUUUCUGUGUAAUGAAGGAACAUAAAGUACAUCUCUAAGUACAAGCAUGAAACCAUCAACUAGCUCUAGAGAGACAUCGCCAACAGCUUCAACCUCUGCUUGGACUCCAUUUGCGACUUCAACGCAUCUUUCGCUUCUUUGCGUAGUCCUCGUUGAACGGAAUCCCUGUAAAGAAUUUGCAACAUGAACAGUUGCACCUGAGUCUAUCCACCAAGUAGAUUUCGAAUACUGUAUAUACAAGGAUUCAUUUACAAAGGAAAUAGUAUUCUCACCUCUUUUUGCCAUUAUUGACUUUAACCAGUCGGGACAUUCUUUCUUGUAGUGCCCCUUUUUCUUGCAGUGUAGACAUUGAUCUUUGUCUACUGUGAGAGGCUUUUGGUGAUACUGCUGCAUAGGAGCCUUUCCUCGUGCCUUGAAAGAGGAGUUAACAUUCUUUUUCCUGUUGUCCUUCACAUAGUGCAAUGAACCACCAUAUGAGGAUCUAAUUCUGUCCUCUUUCUGCACGCACAUGGCUAUCAUUUUGUCCAUGUCCCACUGUUCUGGCUGCAUGUUAUAAUUGAGAACAAAGGUGUCAAACUCUUUUGGCAGAGAAGCAAAAACCAAAUGAAUAAUGUGCCCAGACUUGAGCUCAAGAUCCAUUGGCUUCAACUGUGCUGCCAAGUUGUACAUCCUCAAGAUGUGAUCUCUUAUGCCAGUCCCUCCACCAUUGUACCUCUCUGUGGCCAGCUGCUUGAACAGCUGGGUAGCAUAUAUCUUUGAGGAACCAGUGAACUGAUUCCUUAUCUUCUCGAGGUACUCUGUGACGGAGUCACACUCUGUGAUCGAGCCCAAAAUAGCAGGCUCAAUCGUAUUCUUUACCAAAGCCAUACAUUUCUUGUUGGCAGUGGUCCACUGUUUAUUUUCAUGGGUGUAUGCCAACUCCAGUGGAGCAUAGUCCCUUUCCUUUUGCUGCCAUGCAGCAUCAUCAUCACCUUCAGCCCUCACUGGCUUCUCUGGAGCUUGUGGCCGCGGUGUAGUCAGCACCCAGUCAACUUCUCCACAAACGAAGGAGAACUCAAUCUUCUUCCUCCAUUCUGUAUAGUUGUUGCCUUUCAGAAUGGGUAUCUCUUUGAGACAAGCCAUUAAGUUGAAUGAUCCUGAAAUUUGCAAUCCAAAGUGAGAUCAUAACAACAAUUGUAUGAUUUAUUUCCAACGUUGGUCAAAAAAUAAAACAUACAACUGUUUAUGCAAUUUAAAACUAUAUCACCGUUGGGCAGAAAUAGAAAUAAAAGCAUCAAAAAAACUUUUUAAAUCAUGAUACAGUUAUUAACAACGUUGGUCAGAAAAUAACAGCACCAUAAUCUAAUUAACUUUAUCAUGCUCUCACAAAUUUAAUUGUCUCGUUGGUUCAAAUUCAAUUUAAAUAGAGCAAUAAAUUUGACUUUUGCAGCAGAAACUGUGAAAUAAAUCUAUUUUCAGAAGCAAAAACACUGUAUAAACUUUAUUAAUCUCUAAUACAAAUUAUCCCGUUAGUUCAAAUUAUAUUAGAGACUAAAACUAUGCAAAAAAACAUUAAUUAAAUGCUUCUGGAAAUAGAAAGAACUAAUUAUCAGGCGUUACUGUGCAAAACUUCCUUUUCGGCCCAGCAGCGAAAACGGCCCACAGCCCGUUCCCGCGCUCGGCCCGCUUGCGCGACGCCGUCGGCCCGCUUAGGCGGCCCGCCAAAAGCGGCUUGGCGCUGGCCCUCCCACGCGGCUGCGUACACAGGCCGCAGCGUGGGCCUGGGCCGCGAAUGCGGCCUGCUGCCGCCUCCCGCCUAGGCCGUUUCCAGCCCGAGCGAUCGUGUACCCCCGCCGGCCGUUGUGAGCCAUCGAUCUAAUCGGACGGCCGCGCGUUGAUUUCGGCGGAACAAAAGCGCCCGACGGCCGAUCCCCCGGAAACCCUAGCUUCAUUCCUUUCUUUCCCCCGCGAGAUCCCACCGUGGCGGCGGUGGCGGGGCUGUCUCUCCCGCGCCCGGCGAUGGCCGGCGGCGGCGGUUGAGGGAUGGCCCCGCCGGAGCACGGCCGCGGCAGCCUCCCUCCCUCUCUUUUGCUUGCUUUCCCUCCCCCUCUCCCUCUCCCUCGGAGCCUACUCCAAGAUCCAGGAGGUGGCCAUGGCGACCAUGGAAGAGGGCCGGCGCCACCGCGGGUCCCCUCGCUGGCGCGCGCAUCCACCGCGAGGGUUGGGCGCGCCGCCGUCGAGCGGUCCUUUGGUGGUGCUGUUGCCCCCCCCCCCCCCCCGAGCCUCGAGCGGAUGCUCCGGCGGCUCGGGUGGACCUUUUCCCCGGCGAGCCCGAGGCUCGGCCGGCCUUUGCCGCUCGCCGUCGGUGGACGUGCGACGGUGAGGUCGGCGACAUGUAAGCCGCCGCUUUCAUUCUUUAGAUCUAGGGUUAGGGUUUUAGGUUUUACAUUUUCUGUUUCUUUUUUGAUCUACUUCUUUUUCCCGAUCUAGAAGGGCUUCUAGUGAGGUGUCUGAUACCAUUGAUACCAUUGUCUGAUACCAUUGUUGUCAGGUGGUGGCAACCAGAGAGCAAGCUUGCUACGGAUCCUGACACGCGCUGCAGCACUGCAGCACCACCUGACAACGACCAUUUCCAUGUCUAAUUUUCUUGCCAGCCAGAUUCUAAUUCAUUUGGAGUUUUGGUCUGCUCCAGGUAUCCAGUUUUCGAUCACUCUCUGAUUUCUGGACAUAUGCUGCCCACCUUUAAAAUGCAUUUUCUUAUGGUCUGUGAGAUGCAGAUCAGCAAAUUGGUAUUCCGGUGUUUGUUUUCCACGAGCAGGACACAGGUAGUUUUUGUCUGGGCUUACAGACGUUGCAUGCGUCGUUGGACGGUGUGGCAGACAGCUCUCUGAUUGCUGCUGCUGGGUCGCUGUGUCGUCUGGGCUAGGCAAGCUGACCAAGUCUAUUCUUCAUCGAUGGGCAAAUCUGUUCUUUUGCGGGCCCAUGAAUUUAGGUGCACGCAUCACAACGCAUUCAAUCAUUCACACGCGGGGUAUCUUCAAGCUGAAGGCUGGGUCUCAACUUGUGUUGAUUAUGUUGAUGCUUGCUAAGUGUGCAUCAGGUAGAGUAUUCUGGUUAUAUUAGAGAUCUAAUAACCUUGGUUUAAAUUUGUAAUAUCAAUAUGUACGAGCAGGAAGUUAAAUUAAAACAAAACCAAAGGAAUAAUCAAAAGUUCCAUAUUCAACCAGGUACGUGGUACUGCACAAAAUUAAUCUUUGUCUUAGAAAGUUCUAUAGAAAUGAAAUAAUUGUUAUAAUAAGUCUAGCCGCACGAACCACCUUGUUAGUUUGCUUCGAGGGAAAUUAGCAAUUAAAUUUUGUGGUCCACUGGGAUUUUAUCCCAAGGCUUCAUUGUAGACUGUUCCAUGGCCUACAUAAAUGGUAUGGUUCUAUAGCUCAACAAUCACCAAGCGAUGUUUUUUUCCUAUAUUCACCACUAUCUGCAUGACACCAUAUUCAUAACGGUUGUCAUGGCAUUCCUGGAGGCAUAAAGGCCUUCUUUUGAGAUUGAGGGCAUUUUGGCCAUGGAAGGGUAGACUUGGGCAGUACUGUAUCCUCGGGGAGCUUGGCAAUAAAAGUCGGGGUAGGAAUUGUCUCCAUUAUGCAACACUGCGCCUGGUGGACAAGGCCAAGAAGGGGCGCAAGAAAUCAGUCAAGCUGUCGGAAAAUGUGAAGAAAGCCAUUGUUGGUUCCCUAGUGGGAAGCAACGGCCACCUGACGAAUGGGGUAACAUCGCUGCAAAACAAUGGCAUCCAUUGUCUCUCAUGGCCAUGUGAUGCUACUGCUACCGACGGAGCGGUCACUCGCACCAUUCUCAUUUGCAUAUGAUGCUAUACUGCUACCGACGAAGCGAGGACAAGCUGGAUAGAUGCACCUUUCAAAACAGAAGACGCGGUCAAAACAGCCACCAUUUUACUCAAUGACGCCACAGCUUGCCUUCGCACCGUACCUAACCUCUUGCCUGACCACAGCUCUAGCUAUAUCGGAAUCCAUACUCGAUAAGUCAACCGAGAAACCAGUCUAUUUACUCAAAGAGGCCAAGGAAUUGAGGAGCAGGUGUAAGAAACUAUUGGAACUUAGCAGCGACAGUGGUGAUGGUGAUGAAGGACCUCUCGUUAUGCAGGGUGCUAAGCUUGUGAAACAUCUGAUCGAAGACAUACAAGAACCGAAAUUGAAAUGGAAGAUCCUCUCUGAUUUCUAGGCGCAGAUGAUGCUGUACAUCUCGCCGUCCCACCAUGCCCGGGCGCACCUGGAAGUUCUUGCAAGAGGAUGGGAGUUCAUCACGCACCUUUGGGCGCUGCUCAUGCAUACCGGUGUGCUGAAGAGAGGACCUACAGAGCCAAAGGAUGUCUGAUCUCUCCAACCAGUGCACACGUAGCAGUCCAUAUAUCUACCUAGUGCUUUGAACAUUCUAUUUAUAUUGCCUACUGUCAUGUUAGGACAGACCAACUUGUGGCAUACCAUGUGUGAGUUAGUCUGUCGAGUCUGUAUCUCUUUUCACGCCGUGUCUGUUUUCAGAUUUUGAACAUAGUGGGAUCUGUAUUUUCCUCAAGUUUCAUUAAGAAGAGUGCACGUUCAGGUUGUUGGACGUGCGCGCGUCUUAGGUGGUCAUUACAGUCAUGAUCUGGUGAUCACUUGGGUCACGAACUCACGAUCCUUAGUUGCAGCUUCAUCGCAGCACAAAUCCACUCCCUCUCAGUUGCAUUUGGUCAUGUGUCAAUCGAGCAGAUCCUGUUGCGGGAAAGGGAAGCCUUCAUUCUUUGCUGAAUGUAUUGGACCCCCAUUUUGGGCACAGGUAAAAUGGGUAUUUACACUUACAAAAGUAAUAAAUGGACGGACUUGCCAAGCAGGCUCAUAACUAACAAAUAUGCCACAGAACUUGGUAGACUCAUUUCCUAAAUUCUGCAAGAAACUGGCGAUGGUCCUGAAUUACAUGACUAAGAUGUUUAGCAGCAUUUUGGAAAAUAUACCGCAAACAAAGACGAUGCCUCGUGUUAGGGAAUAAAAUUCUAAUUGCAGCAGACAUGGCAGCACACUAAUCCGUGAAAAUUGUGCUAGGAUGCUUGUUCGACAUUGCUGUUAGGAUUGUUUUCAAGAGCCAAACAAAUGAUUCAAUGGUUUCAUUAUAUAAUAUUGCAGCCCCAAAUAUAAUUGUUUGCUUGUGAUGGUUGGUUCCAAGAAGUGGUGCAAAAGGCAUCUCAAAUUUGUUGGUUUGAAAUGUUGUGUCAAAUGACACUGCAUCACCAAAACAUGCAUAGUCCAUGAUAGCUUGACCAUCUUUCCAAAAUAAAUUGCUAUCCGACCAUCUUCCUCAUCUACUUGUAUGGCAUAAAAAAAUAUAAGAUCCUCUAAUUGCUUAUUCUUCAAAUAUUCUAGUAGUGUUUGUGCAUUAUUGGAUGGUAUGUACUUCCUCCGCUCACGACCAAUCAUAUUAUUGCAAACCAUUUGUGAGAAAGGUACAUUCUUAACUCCUCCGUACCACUGCUUAAAAAAUUCAUACACUUUGGCUAGUUGUAUUCUAGCUCCUUGUAUACGAGCAAUUAGUUGUUUAUCUACCUUUGUAAUAUUUCUUUGAGACCUCAGCUUGUUUACCUUAUUUAGGCUAGCAAGAUAGUGAUUGUGGUUAAAUACAACCUUUUGAACUGUCCAAAUGCCCUCUUGACUUAUACUAAACUGAACCCGAGCAUUGAAAUUUAUCCUUGUAGUAGCAUUUUCUUUUGAAGUCUCAUGUGAUGAAUGCUUACUUCGUUAUCCUUGAUUGCUGCAAACUAUGUGCUUUUGAUAUAUAUACUUCCAUCUGGUCUAUACCUUGUAGUGCUCUUUCUUAUACUAAAACCAAUAGUCCUUGCAUAUGCAUUGUACAUUUCAUAUGCAUCAUCCUCUUAUUUGAAAGACAUCCCAACUUGAGGUACAGGUCAGGAUUACUACCCUCCUGCAGUCCAAUGAAAUAUACUGAAAGAUAUGUCAAGACUCCAUUUUGUUACUUUUGAACUACCUGAUCUUGAGGUGCCACUUCUUCUGACAUCCCUAAAGCUGAUAUGGUUGAAUUUGGUGGCAUCACCGUCACCUCUGGGAGUAUGGACGCACCGGUGACCGGCUCAAUGGUAGGGCUCAACGAUGAUGUCGAUGGUAAAGCACAACGGAUUGUGAUCUCAACUGGUGCCUCGACUGCGAGGGUUGAAGAAAUCACGGCGAUGGUGUCCAUGUUGGUUGUGGGCAUUGAUGGCAGAAUUGUCUAGACCAUGUUCCCUGAAGCUGCACUCGAUUUUCUGGUGGCAGAAUCAUGCAUCGUCUCGAUCCGUUUUUUACGGAGGGGCCUUAAUCUCCUGAAAAAAUUCUCUGCUGGACCUUACGCUACGUGGGGUGCGGCGGUGCUCCAUUCGUAUCACGCGGGGCUUGGAAGCUCGAGCUGGUGCCACCGGCGACCGACCGCCAACGUGCGGCGCGGGGGCGGGGUGCUGCGGCCAGCGUCUAGGGUGGGGUGCCGCUGCACGCAGGACAAGGAGUGCGAGCAGUGCCACCGUCCGCAGGACCGGGAGCGCAAGUAGUCGCCGUCGUGGGAGCGCGAGCAGUCACCGCCAUCCGCAUGACCGGGAGCGUGAGCAGUCGCCGUCGUGGGAGCGUGAGCAGUCGCCGCAAGGGAAUCGGACAUGGGCCGUGGGGUGCCGCUGCUGGGCCUCGCGCUACAUGGGCUCAACGCUCGAGCAGUCGCCUCAAGGGAAUCGAAAAGGGAAUCUGACACAGGACGCGUGGACGUAAUCUAGGCGGUGUCACACCAGGCGCACGGUGCGGCCCCGCAAAGAAUUUUGUUCCAUUGUUAAUGGAUUUCUUCGAAUGUGGCACUUGGUUUUUCAUUAGUGUUAAUAAUGUGUCAUUGACCUUUUCCGGUUAUCAUAAGACAUUUUUUACUGGAUAUAUGACAGUUGACUGACUUCAAACAAGAGUUAAUUAACCGGGUGAAAUGUACACCAUAAUGGACUUUCAAAAAAUAAAUCUACAUCAUCAAGAUGGACGAUAGAGGGACUAACAGCAGGGAACUUAGAAUUUUGGUAGGUUAUACAGCUUCAUCACCUCAGUAAGAAUUUGCUGGUGAUUGGAUGCGGGCUGCAGGAAGAGAGUUCAGUUUUCUUUGACCAUUAUUAUGAGGUCAGAAUUGCAGGCUCUCUGGAAGCUCUUCUACAGGAUUGUGCAAGGAUUUCUUUCGCUGAGGAUGCAGACAAGUUAUUCCUGUUGACGUCUCUGGAACCUUUUCUACGGUGACGUCUUUUACAUAAAUCUCUGAUAUUACAAAAUGUGAGCUUCCAUGCAAAUUUAUAUAGUUACCUAAAAGAAAAAAUUAGUAACAUGAAAAUUUCUCUAAUUCUUUUUUAAACAACGUAUAGAUGCAUACACUUGUACAUACGCAUGCCGACUCACCUAUGAACGAAAGCACACACAUCUACCCCUAUCAUCAAAUCACAUCCACACAUUACUCAAUGAAGGAGUAAAAUCUGGCAAACCCUGCUGAAGAAUAAAUAUCUAAGUUCAAAAUGUGUAUGAGAAGUACAGAUUAAAGCCUGGUGAGUCAUAUUUUGAGAAAUGUUUAUUAAAAGCUAUGGAAGAAUUUCGAGAUGUGGGAUAUUCAAAAACAGGUAUGGUUCGCAAACCGGAUUUUGAAAGGACAUAUGGGUGGGUUCGAAACUCCUUAAAGAGCAAUUUCCUAGCAUGUAUAAUAUAGUUAUUUAAGGAGAAAUUUCCUAGCCUGCAUAAUAUAGUCAUCUACCCUCAUGGUACGUGUCUUACGUCAUGAUUCAAAUGUCACUACAUGUUUCUUUUCGAACAUCAUUAGUUGGGGAUAAAUUGAUGGCAUGAAAAUACCUAGUAGCUAAGAUAGCAAACUUUCAGCUUUCUAAUCAGAGGACUAUUUUAGCUAGGAAUUACAUAAACAUGGUUAAUUUGUCAAUUCGGUCCAUGUAUCAGUACCUGAUAAACUACGGUACCCCUUCCAACAAUAAAUUCAUUUGGAAGCUGAAGCUCCCUUUGAAGAUGAAGAUUUUUCUUUGGUUAAUUUUCUCCAGUCUGGGUAAUUUUAACAAAGGAUAACUUAGUUAAAAAAAUUGAUUGGUGAGACAAUAGUGUUUUUCUGUGAAUGUAAUGUAAAGAUUAAACAUCUCUUUUUUGACUGCUAGCAUGUUAAGUCUAUUUGGAGAAUUAUUCAUAUAGCUACUGGGUUAAUCUUACCAAGAUCCUUAACUCAUAUGCUUGGGAAUUGGCUAAUGGAUAUAGGGGAAAAUGAAAGGAAAUUGAUCUUUGUGGGUAAUGCAAUUCUUAUUUAUUGGUUAAUCUGUAUAUAACAUUCCAAGAUGGGGGAUGUAUAUAACAUUUAGCAUGUGCGAAAAAUGCACAGAUGCAUCGGUGCUACGUACAUGAGGGUAGUAGGCUUGAUACGCUGCAUCGAACAUUCUGUUUCUAUGCAGGGUGUAGUUUCUGUGAUCGUAUUUUUAAAGUUUCUGUGAUCGUAUUUUUAACGCCGGAGUAUUUUUUAGAUUACGUGAAUAGACGCGCCGAUUAAGGGAUGGAUGUUUUCCCUUUCUCUAAGAAUUUCUAACAUAUUUCUCAUUUUAUUUUUCUGUUAUGGCGUAGAAGGUACAUCUACUUUUUUUUUUCACCAACUGUUAUGCAUGAAGCUAGGUUAACAUAAAGAGAUAGCCAGUGCACCGAUCAGUGUCUCUCUUGUACUGUAGUCGUUUGCUCCCCAUGUCGUGCGGCCAUGGCAAGGCGAUAGCAUCACUACGGCAAAUAAGAAAUUCACCGAGUGCCAGGGGCACUCGGCGAAGGGCGAAAUACACCCGGCGAGCCGUUUGCCGAGUGUAACACUCGGCAAACGGCACACGGCAAACUUUGUGACGGCAAACAAGGAUUUGCCGAGUGUUUUCUGUCGCGCACUCGGCAAAGACUUUGUCGAGUGGCCAGAAAACACUCGGCAUACAAUUGUUAAAAAAAAUAAAAAAAACCUGUUCCGGCCGCCGGCCGCCGCCGCUAGCCACCACCGCCAGCACCGCCACCGGCCGCCGCCGCCACCAUCCACACCCAGCCACCGCCCGCCAGCAGCACCACCACCGCCACCGGGAGGGGAAGGGCCGGAGGAGAGGGAGGGGAGGGGUGCCGCCCGCCGGAGGAGAGGGGGGGGAGGGGCGCCGCCCGCGCCGGAGAGGGAGGGGAGGGGCGCCGCCCACGCCGGAGAGGGUGGGGAGGGGCGCCGCCCGCGCCGGCGGAUCUGGAGGAGGGAGGCGGCGGCGCCGGAACCGGGGGAGGCGGCGGCCGCACCACCACCAUCCACACCGCCGCUGCCGCCACCAUCCACGUCGUCGCCACCGCCGCCGCCGGCCACCAUCCACGCCCGCCGCCACCAUCCACGCCGCCGCCACCAUCCACGCCCGCCGGAUCCGGGGCUCCCGACGCGAGUCCCCGCCGGAUCCGGCGAGGAGGGGCGGAUUCCCCGCCGGAUCCGGCCGGAUCUGGGGAGAGGGGCGCCCCACUCGAGGGAGGGAGGAGGGGAGAGGAGGGGGAGGGGUGCCGGUAGGAGAGGGAGAGGGAGAGGGAGAGGGAGGGAGGGCGGCGGCGGCGGUGGCGGCGGCGGCGGCGUCGGGAGAGGAAGGUGGGGGAGGGGGGCAUCGGGAGAGGAAGGUGGGGGAGGGGGGCGUCGGUAGGAGAGGGAGAGGGAGAGGGAGGGAGGGCGGCGGCGGCGGAGGGGGGCGGGGGGGGGGGGGGGGCGCUAGAGGGAGAGGGGGCCGGGGGGGGUGCUGGAGAGUUGGGGAGGCGGUCUGUCGCGGGGGGAGUUGGGGAGGCGGCGGCGUCGGUCUGUUUUGAGGGUGGGGGCGGUCUGUGCCGAGUGUCCUACGUGGACACUCGGUAAAGAGUUUCUUUGCCGAGUGUCCAACGUAGGACACUCGGCAAACUUUUUUUGAAAAAAAUUUAAAAAAUAUCCAACAGUUUCAAAAAAAUACCAAAUUUUCACACGAACCAAUAUAGGUUCUCUACUGACUAUACAAAAAGUUUUGUAGUCAAACCGAACUCGACCGUCACUUCGACUAUAAUUUUAUCGAAUCCUUCUCAAAGUUACUAUUCUUCUUCUGAGAUGCUUCGGUUUGUAAUCAUCGUACAUGAUGAAAUGUGCAAAACCUUCUCAAUUUUUUUCCACAGCCUCCACGUAUUAUAUCAUCACAUCAUGACAAAUCUUAAGAUUUUCAGACUUUGAUUAUUUUUUUUACAAUUUAAAAAUACUACUGCCACACGUUCAUGGUCGUGUUUCCUGAACAAGAUGUUCGAAAUUUCUUUUCAUUUCAUGGGUCAGGUCUCAAAUUGGUCCAAAUAACAUGAAUAUCAUUUUUCUACUCAUUUUAUUCCAUAAUUUGAAUCACAUGCAGUUCAAAUUUGACUUAUACCAAAAAUUCCCUUGAAAUGCAAUUAAUUAAUUAAAUAUAGCAAAUAAAUUCAAAAAUAUACCAAAUUUUAACAUGGAGUACCACAUGUUGUAUGUGGGGAGUAGAAAAAAUUUCAUGGUGAAAAGAGAAAAAAAAUUAUUUUUUUGCCGAGUGUCAAAAAAAACACUAGGCAAACCCCCCUCUUUGCCGAGUGUUUUUUUUGACACUCGGCAAACCCCCCUAUUUGCCGAGUGUUUUUUUUGACACUCGGCAAAGAGGGGGCUUUGCCGAGUGUUUUUUAUUUGACACUCGGCAAAGCCCCGAUUUGCCGAGUGUUUUUUUUUGCCGAGUGUUUUUGGCUUGACACUCGGCGAAGAGCUUGUUUGCCGAGUGCUCGAAAAAACACACUCGGCAAAAAGAAAACACUCGGCAAAUUUAAGGUUUCCCGUAGUGCAUUUAUCAUAUAGACAGCUACGGAACUACCGUCCUCCAGAAAACAGCUACGAAGCUACCGUCCUCCAGAAAGGUGCUCCAGAAAGGACCUCUCUACAGAUGCCUGCUCACAAUGGAUGCGUCAGAAACCUCGUUCGUGCAGAGAGAUUUUGUUGGCCAUCUUUCUCUCUGUCAGCGCUCGGAGCUAGUGUCGCUUCUUCUUCCCUAGGGCCAAAGCUGACUGCUGAUAACGGCAGCGUCACUGACCUACCUGCACUGUUGGCUCUCAAAGGCCAGCUCUAGGAUCCUCGCGGCGUCCUUGCCGGCAGCUGGACAACUAACGUGUUCUCCUGUCGCUGGGUCGGCAUCUCAUGCAGCUGCCACGUCAGCGCGUCAUGGCUCUGUCGUUGCCAGAUGUUCCCCACCAAGGAGAAUUCAUCCCUCAAUCUUGGUAACCUCUCUUUCCUCUCCAUGCUUAACCUCACAAGGACCAACCUCAUUGGCUCCAUCCCUGCCGAUCUUAGUAGGUCACAUCGUCUUCGAAAACUUGCUCUUUUUGGAAAUGGUCUUUCCGGCACCAUUCCUAGUAAUUUUGGAAGCCAUAUGCGGCUUAAGGUUCUAGACUUGGGUAUCAACACACUCUCGAAUCACGUAUCAUGGAAGAUGCUAAAGAAUCUGCACAGCCUUCGGAUUCAGCUGCCGCAGUCUGCGAGCCUCACAGGUCGCAUCGGGAGUUCAAGAUUUUUAUCAGCCGGAAUCUCGGCGAGGCAGCAGGAUUGAAUCGUCACCAGUUGAUCAUGGCGAGAGCGUGAUCUCUUCGGCAUGUCCUUAUAACUUUUGGCAGCAAAUUUUUAUUGGGCCGGUUCUGUAUUGGGUUUUGACUCUAUUCUUUUUAUAUUGGGUUUUGGGUCACUACGUCAGCUCAGAAAAAUCUGCAUCCCUAGUUGUGUCAUCACGGACCUGCUUGCGGUGGAAGAGAGCUCAGAGCGCGUGCUUCGGCUGCAGGCAUUGCACGACCACUGCUGCAGCUUGGGUUCUUUUGCGGUUCUUACGGGCUUGGUAGGCUGGGCUGCAAAGCCGUAUUACAAUUUGAAGCUAGCUCGGUAUUACAAUUUGAAUGCUGUGCGUGUGACGAUGAGCUCGUGAUGUCUGCAGCGUAUACGUCACUUGGUUGCUAUCGUAUACCAAAUGUCUUGCAGCAGGUAGCUGAUUCGAUAAAAAAAAAAGAGUUGGAGGCGAGGACGGAGCAGAUGAUUCAGCAGAGGCUGAAGGCUGAGCGGCAGAGGAUGGAGGAAGAACAACGGCUGAGGAUGGAGCAGAUGUUUCAAUACAUGCAGGUUUUUGCAUCGAGUAUGGGUCAGCCAGCGCCACCGAUGCUAUUCCCUCCACCUCAACCACCCACAACUACUCCUGUGUCACACUUGACACCUUAUAUUGCAGAUUGAAUACUUUGACUUAGAGAGCUUGUUUCUGUCAUAAAUGUCCAAAUCCCAAAUGAUAUGUUAGCUCAAAGUGAAAUAUGCUAUGAUACGUUAGCAAAAAAAUGAUAUGUUAGCUCUAAAUGUUAUCUCAAAAUGAUAUGUUAGCUCUAAAUGAUAUGUUAGCUCUAAAUAUUAGCUCAAAAUGAUAUGUUAGCUCAAUCUUAUCUCACACAUGCAAUCUCUUCUCCUCUGUGCAGAAUCAAUCGGCGGCAUCGAAUAAUCACCCUCAAGAUCCGAAUUUGUCGCAGUGGUUCCCAGGGCCUCCGCAGUGACUAUUUGUGACUUAGUUGUGACUUACUUGUUACUUGCCUUUGCAUUUGUGGCUUACUUUAUGCUUAUUGUGAAUUAUGCUUGUGAUGCUUAUUGUGAAUUAUGCCUGUGAUGUUUGUUUGAGUGGGGGGGUCAUUAUACGUGACCAAACCAUAAAAUCAUCGCUUUGCCAAGUGUUACACUCGGCAAAGAAGCUAAAUUUGUCAUUCUGGGCAAAGCUUUGCCAAGUGUUUGUCCUUGACACUCGGCAAAGCGACCAUAAAAUCUGUCAUAUACGCAAUACUUUGCCGAGUGUUUGUCCGUGACACUCGGCAAAGGGACUAUACAUAGUACUUUGCUGAGUGUACUGGAGUUGACACUCGGCAAAGAUUUAAAUAUCGCCGAGUGCUGCUUGGCUUAACACUCAGCCACAUUUUAAAUAUUGCCGAGUGCUUUCUUCGUAAUACUCGGCAAAGUUUAGAUUUUUGCCUAGUGUUUUCCAGUUAGGACACUCGGCAAAGCUUAGAUUUUUGCCGAGUGUUUUUCCGUCAUGGCACUCAGCAAAGCCUCAAUCACCAUCUUCUCGCCGUCCCCGUCACUUUUUUUUUUGCCGAGUGUCAACCUAGCACUCAGCAAAGCUUUUGCCGAGUGUCCGACAAAAAACACUCGGUAAAUAAACUUUGCCGUUAAAAUCGAUGCCGAGUGUCGGUUGCCGAGUGUUUUUGGGGCUUUGCCUAUUGUUUUUGGUACUUGGCAAACAUCCUGUUUCCGUAGUGAGGUGCAAGAUAGGAAGAAGAGGAGAGGACGAGGAUGGGAGCAUUGAUUGUGGGCCCACACGAAUCAUUGCGGGUGGCCUGAGAUGGAGGCGGGCAUCCUCCCCUGAUAAUGAUAAAAUGGUCAAAAUCAGCCAACCUUCAAUUGUUGUGAUUUCUCCCUGAGAUGGGAGAAUUGGGGACUGGGAGUAGAUCAACACGGGAGGAACCGCUGGAAGGAAGGAAGGAAGGUUCAGUUCGGGAUUCAGAAUUUCAGCACGGUCGCCAUGGCAUCGAUCUGCUUGGAGAACAACAUCACGCAGCGAGGGCGCCCAAAAACCAAGGGAAGGACGGCAUGGCAGUACUGCAAAGGAGGCAGAGCAGCGAAGCAGAGGAGAGCGGUGAGUUGUCGAGCGAGCGAGACCGACGGAGGUGUUUGGACAUCAACAUCUGUUGAUGAGAGCAUCUGCAAAUACUUCGAUUAUUGGUGUCAUCCUCUACUGUGUCAUGGUAUUACCUACUCAUUUAAGCACCAAUAUAUAAAAACUCUGGCUUUUAUCGAAAAGAACAAAAAGAUUCAGCCCCGAUGUGAUCCCACCGGCCCCCACGCGUUUCACGUGGUAACAGUACUUCAAGUUUAUCUUCCAUUAUCUAUAAACCCACGCAGAUUACGAUAUGGACCACGUGAUCAUGUGUCACAAUCACACGCACCACCCACAGACAUGCUGAUGGUCAUCGGCCCCCAUGAAUUAUUGAAGUCCAUCCCAUGCGUGCAGCCGUGUAUAAACACCGCCCUCCGGCAGGCUCCUCCAUCACCACAUCCACCACCUCCUCUCCUCAUCCUGCACUCUGACUCUCCUCGUCGUAGUAGUGUUCGAUCGUGUGUGUGCAAGUACAGCAAUGGGGUUUGGGCGGAAGGUUGGAGAGGGUGGGGUUAGCAGGUGGCUCCUCCUGCUCGCCGGGGUGCUGCUGGCGGUGGCUGUCACGGUGACGGCCGGUGACGCUGCGGAGGAGGGAGCCACCGCUGGCGACUACACGUUUGGCGCUGUGGAGGAGGGAGCCACCGCGGGCAAAGACAGCCUCCACGGUAGCCGAGCUAUGUGCGAGCUCAAGUGCCAACAUCAUCAAGAUCCAGUGAACAAGCAGCGGUGCAUCGACUUCUGCAUACGGUGGCAGCUAGCACUACUGUUUGACGUUAAGGAGGAGGAUGGAGCCACCACCACUGACGCCAUCACCGCUGGUGAGGACGGCAUCUGCGCCAGCCGGCGCAUAUGCAAGCUCAAGUGCCAGCACCAUCACGACACGGUGAACAACAACCGGUGCACCGACUUCUGCAUAGGGUACCAAGUGGCACUAGAUGCCAUUAUGGAGAAUGGAGCCACCGUCACCGCUGGUGAGGACACGUUACGCGGUAGCAGGCUUAUGUGCGAGCUAAAGUGUCAGCACCACAAUAACCCGGUGAACAAGAAGAGGUGCGUCGACUUCUGCAUUCGGUACCAGCUGGCACUGCAUGAUAUCAAUGAUGGAGCCACCGCCGCCGCCGCCGGCGGAGCCAUCCGCCAGGUGGUGUGACGCCGGCGCAUGCAUGGACGGCAUGAAUAAGGGCCUAAGUACGUGUCGCUGGAUAUUUACGGACCGCUCGUGUGCGUUUGUCUUUUACGUUGAUGUGUGUGUGAUGUGUGAGAGGCCCUGACCGAAGCUUACGUAUUCGGUUUCACUAGUACUUGUUGUCUCUGGUUCUACUGCGUUUGUAAGAGCCUUUGCAAGUGACUUGUCAGUUGUGAUGAAUAAAGCAACAGGCUCUUUUUCGUUCAGAGUGGAUUUGUAAAAAGCACUGGCCAGUUAGGUUUAUUUUGAACAAGAUCGUCAUCUCCUCUUUUAGCACGCUAGGUCAUCUCGAGAAUGAUUAAAUUCUCAACUCAUAAAUGGACAAUAUUGUUGGUAUAGGUGGGUAAUCACCAGUGACAUAUCACUAUACUAUGCAUAUACACUCACACAUAUAAACACUGAAACACACAUGCUACAUGCACACAAACUCAGUUCGCGAUACCAAGGCGUGCCCGCAAUCGGGGUUAUUCAUUUCCAGUGGAUCAAGUUUAUGUUCACUGGAAUGCACGACAACAUGAGCAUCCAAAAUGGAAACAAGCCCAUCCCACCUAACCGUUC